AGCCUGGAGAUCCAUAGAUGGGAAGGGUGGUUCUCUUCAUCUCCCUCUCUCUCUCUCUCUCUCUCUUCCCUUUCCCCCCCUGGUUAACUUUGACAUACUAUCUAAAGGUUGUAGGGCAGAAGGAAUCCCCAUAAAACAGGGCAACCCUCUUCCAUCAUUGGCAAAGGAACAAUACCUAGAAUGAACUUCUUUUUAGACUAUGCAAUUUGUAACCGUGGGAUGAGCGCCUACCCGCCCAAGGAGUACCAGCACCUCGACCAAGGGACCACUUCCUACCCAGCCUGCUCAGGUACCACUCUAGCCUGUGACAGCUAUCAGCCAGAUGGGCGCUUUGGGGUGAUAGGGGUGGGUGCUACUGGCCCCAAUGCCCACCACCAACAGGGCCCCAGCUACCCUCCUCCUCUUCCUCACAGCCCAGCUAGCCUUGGUAUCUCCUUCACCAGCUCCUCUCACCAAGGAGGAGGAGGGGGAUACGCAAACUCGGGUUGCAACCCCAGCUUCACUAACCCUCAGUUCUACCAUGGCUCCCCAGAGACGGAUGGAGCUUAUUUUCAGACCUCGGCCUACCCUGCCAGCUUGGCUGCAGCUUCCUCCCAUUCCUCUUCCCAUCUAGUGGGAAGUAUACCUGAUGCUUUUUGUGCAGCCACCCCGGGCCAAUUCCCACCACACCAAUAUGGUUCUGAUCAGGGGGGCUACUUGCAAGGGGCUUUGGGCAAUCUUUCCCCACCUCUAUCUGAGAACAAAGAAUCGAGAGCUUGCCGGGCCCAUCCAUGUCCCACGGCGGCUGCUGCUGCUGCUGCCGCCACUGCUACCACCAGCCAGACCUUCGACUGGAUGAAAGUGAAAAGGAAUCCUCCCCGAACAGCAGCGAAAGUGACUGACUAUGGAUUAGCCGUCCAUGCCAGCACGAUCCGGACCAAUUUCACCACCAAACAACUGACGGAACUGGAGAAAGAGUUUCACUUCAGCAAGUAUCUCACUCGAGCUAGGCGGGUGGAGAUCGCUGCUACUUUGGAGUUGAACGAGACUCAGGUAAAAAUCUGGUACCAGAAUCGGAGGAUGAAACAGAAGAAGAGGGAAAAGGAAGGAUUGGCUGGUCCCCAUCCCAUUGCCGCGGCGGCUUUCCGCCAUUCUACCAAGGAAAGCAGCGAGGCUGCGUCGUCGGACAGAUCCAGCGGGCCCUCCACUCCCGAAGCUUCUCCGAGCUCGGUGUCCUCUUGAAGGGGAAGGAGGGCUAGUUAGGUCGAGUCCUGCCCACCGAAGUAACCUCCCCUUUCAAAGAGGCAGCUGCUCGGUUUGUAAAGUGAAUAGACGGCCCUAAACUUAUGGGCCCAAAAAGACAAACCCACCGAAAGAACCACGAACCACAAGCGCAUAUGAUAUCUAUGCACACGCGCCCCUAUUACGAAAAAGAAACGCGUAUUUUCGAAUGUAGAGAUAUAGGAACUUUUGCACAAUUUUUUUUUCUGGAUACUCAAGAGUUAGUUACAAUUAUACAAACGACUUCCAAUAAGAUUGCUCAUAAAAUGUAGAUUUUGAAGUUCUCCCCCCUUAAGCUUGUGUUUCUACGCCUUUGCUGUCAGAUUCAUAUAUUAUAUGUUUCUUUGUUACUUCUAGCUUCGGAGUAGCAAGAAUGUGAAUGUAACAUCACUAGAAUACCAGCAAGUCAUGAAGAUCUUCAGAAGGAAUGUUGAGCAGUUUCCAGUCAUUUCCUUAAAAGCGGCAGAGCAAGAAAAGACGUUCAAGAAACUGUGUGGCACCCUGGCAAGUAUGUCAGUGACAUCUGUUCUUAGCCCUUGGUGGGAUUCCUCUCUCUUCCUUGCCUUAAAGCAUUUGUUCUCGCCAUGUGAAGCCUUUUGAUCUCAGGAAACCACUUCCCAUUUAAAGGGAAGAAAGAGAGGACUUUUGGUCAACAUAACUUUUUCUCUGAACUAAAAGUUUAGCUUCCCAGCUUUUUUCUGGUGUUUGUGACAGUUUGUCUGAACAACAGGCAAGCAUAAUGAGAAAUGGUGUUUUGCACACUGUCACUUUAUAUGCUGUUUCUUAAAGCAAACUCCUUAGAGUUUAAUCAAAGAGCUAACCUUAAACAAGUCUCUGAUCAGCCUGACAGUUGAUGAAAAUAAUAACUUUUUGCUUGUGUAAAAUGCAUUUUGUUAAAUAACAGCUAUUUCUAGCCCACUUUUAUUUAUUACUUCCUUGACUACAUCUUGGACAAAGACACCUUAUUUCUUGUGUUUCAUUAUGAAUGUUAUAGUUGGUUGAAUUAAGGUGCCAGAUUUGGGUUGAAAAAAUCCAGGUGACCCCUACAUGGCAGCAAGUAGAACAUUAGCUCUUUGCUGCUGUCCAGACAUUGGCUGCUUGGAUCUGGUAGCCUUCCUUGAAGGAAUUUCAGAACACGAGUUAUUUCCAUAUCUUCUGAGAAUGGUGGGGGAUGGCUAAAGAAAACUGGCACUUGUCUAUCAUAAAAGAAGAAACAUGGCUGCCUUAGUUAACAUAUUGGGUUUUUGGAGGAUGUAGCAAGAACUUGGAAGGCAGGUUUAUAUGUGAUGAGAGGCAGUUUUGAGCAAGAACCUAUCCUGUCUCUGGUACUACAGUCAAUUUUAUCUGUAAGCCCUUCAGUUCUGUCCCUCAAAUAGGAGGUGUUGAGUUGACAGCUUCUCCUGAGCCAGGUCUGUCAGAAACAUGUUUUGGUAAUGAUUACUUUCUUCAUUAAUUUCCAAACUGAAAUGUCUUCAGAUUUGAAUUCUGAAAUGCCAAUAAAUUUAGUUUUUCAUUUAGUGUCAUACUUAAAACAUAUAAUUAUGCAUAUCUACCACAUUUCUACCAAAAGAUUUAUCAGAAGAAAUGUGUAUGUUUCUGCAGGACAACUUGGAAGAAAGUGAAAUAAGGUACCCUAGAAUAUCUUUGUUAAGAGUGGAAGCUAACUUGGAAAUUGGAAUUUAGUUGAUUUAGCUGCAACACUUUCCAGAGAAGAACUGCUUUCUCUACAUUUAUAAUGCUUGGAGCUCAUUCAGAUGGCAUGUGGUUCACAAUAAAUAUACACAUGUUACUCAUUUAUUAGAUUGCAAAUAACUUCCAUCAAGACUGUAUUGAAUUAUUAAGGAUGGUGAAUUUUUCUCUAUUCAACAUUUUUUCCAUUAGAAAAUGUCAAGUUUUACUUCCAUUGUGAUCAUGAGAAUAGGGUAUAGAAACCCUCCUCAACUGAAUGUGCCAAGACUAUUGAAUCCCAUCAUGCACAAUGCAUGUACUCAAUUUACAACCAUUCAUUUAGUGAGCGACCAAAGUUACAAUGACCCUGAAAAAAUGACUUAUCACUGAUUUUCUCAUGUACAACCAUUUCAGCAUCUCUGUGGUCACACAAUCAACAUUUGGACACUUGGCAAUUGGCUCAUAUUUAUGACAGUUUCAGCAUCUAAGGGUCAUGUGAUCACUUUUUGUGACCUUCUGACAAGCAAAGCAAAGCCAAUGGGGAAACCAAAUUCACAUAACAGCUGUGUUACUAACUUAACAACUGUAGUGAUUCGCUUAACAACAGUGGCAAGAGUAGUCGUAAAAUGGAACAAAACUAACUUAGCCAGCAUCUUGCUUAACAACAGAAAUUUUGGGCUCCAUUGUAGUCAUAAACUGAGAACUACUGUAUUCUGGAAAUUGCAGCCCUAAUGCAUCUGGAAGGGAAGACAUUGCAGAAAGCUGGUAUGAAUUGUACUUGCCUGAAAAUUUAAGUAAACUUGGAGAAAAAUGUAUGUAUUUACAGGUAAUCCUCGAUUUACAACUUUUUGUUUAAUGACCAUUCAAAGUUAAAAUGAUUUAUGACCAGUUCUCACACUUAUGACCAUUGAAGCAUUCCCUACAGUCACAUGAUCAGACUUCAGGUGCCUGGCAAUUGGUAUAUAUUUGCAAUGCUUGCAGCAUCCUGGAGUCUUGGGAUUGUCAUUCGCAACAUUCCUAGGGAGCUUCUGACAAGAAAAGUCAAUGGGGGAAGCCAGAUUUGCUUAAUGAUAGAAUGACUCAAUUGACAAUUCUAGUGAUUCAUUUAACAGCCAUGGCGUAAGGGUCAUAAAAUGGGCAAUGACUCACUUAACAACUGCCUUGCUUAGCAACAGAAAUUUUGGGCUCAAUUGUGAUUGUAAGUUGAGGAUUAUCUAGAAAACAAAAUGUAUUAAAAUAUAAGUGAAGUGAUGUCUCCUAACACUGAUCACAAUACUAUGAAAUUUCUCAUGUGCUGAUUUUUUGUUUAAGCAGUAAAUGUAUCUCCUCAAGAAAGCAAUCCUUUUUGAAACCCCUGGUUCUGUUUGAUUAAGAUAACAUAACACUGAUAAUUCUAUGUGUCUGUUACUUCAUCAGAUUAAAUAAAUCGGCUGACCGUUUCUGGCCCUUGCAACUGCAGGGAAGUAUCAAAAGACAAAGUGCAGGGUUACUUUCUUGUUUGUUGCUCGCACAGCAAUUCUUUAGCGGAACCCAAAUUAAAUCCCAUGACUCACUCCCCACACCAACAUACAGGGAUGCAAAUAAUUCCCCUGUAGGUUUGAGCCUAGCCUUGCUGUACUUAGAAUGAACUGGUGUCUUCUUUGUGGCUCAGAAAAAUAUACCUAUCUUUUCUUCAGUUUACAUAUUAGUCUGACAGCUCCGUUUCAAAUCUUCACGUGGUUUCAUUCAAUAUUUACUCAGGUCUGAUGGGUUUGCCUAGAGUUCUACUCUUCUGUCUGCCUUGUCCUGCUACCUCCUCUUCCUCUUGAGCUUUGGUUCACCGAAAGUUCAACCCUAAAUGAAUUCACCAAAGGACAGGCUUGGGCUGUCCAGAGGUCCAAGAAUGGGGUCAUGCAUAGGUCUUCCUACACAACAACCCAUGCUUUCCAAGGCCUGCCAGUCCAUCAGCACUCCAGGCAAGAGGUCUGCUUUGAAAAAUUAUUUUGGGCUAUAAGGGUGGGGUGGGGGAACAAACUGCAAGCUGGUAACAAGAGAACGCCAAACAUAUUCAGGGACAGGCUUUCAACAAACGGAUCAGAGGUCAAGCCUACAGGGAAGGUGAGAAAAGUUCACAAAUGUCCUUAAUUGUAACAGAGCCCUAACCUAGGCGUUCUGAGCUUUUUGUAACCAUGUACUGUACUGUACUGUACCAUACAGACCAAUACGAUUGGUAGGGUGCAAUAGCAUAGGGUGUGUUUGAUAUGGUAUAUUUUGUUUACUCUGGUCUUAAAUAAUUGUUGAUUUUGAAUAGGAAGUAGAAAGCAAAUAUUACACACACACACACACACACAUGUAUGUAUAGGUGUGGGUGUGCACACACAGAUAAAUUGUAUGUGUAUUAUAUAGAUAGAUAGAUAGAUAUAGAUAUAUAGAGAGAGAUAAAGUUAGAGAUAUAGAUAGAUUGAUAGAUUGAUAGAUUGAUAGAUAUCCUCUGUCUGUCUGUCUGUCUGUCUAUCUCUCCUUCCAUCAUUCUGCCUUGCUUUAGUCCAGCCAAGAAAGAGAGUCCAAGAUGUUGUUCUGCAGAAAGAAACAGGCUUGAUCCAUAGUGGUUGGGGUCACCAAGGGCAAGAACCAGGCUUACCUCAGAAAUUCCCCUUUACUUUUAUAUAAGUGAAUGACUGCUAUUCAUUCCUGCAAAAAAAUGAAAGCACUGCAGUUGGAAAGAGUGGGUGACUAGGAGCUUGCUGACAGAGAUCCAGUAGGCCCCUCUCCCUGAGCCUCCCUCCUUUAUGAUGACAGGUCUUUCACUAAUGAUAUCAUAAGCACUAGGAUUGGUUUAUGCAGCAAACUAAAUUAUAAACUCAGAUUUGUAGAAUAUAAUUGCUGUCUAUUUGUUAUGUGCUGUGUUCAAUUAAAUCAAUAAAUCAUACUUGGUUUUUGAGUGAUAUUUUACUUUGCAGAACAUCUGAAAAGAAUAAAUUCCUACAAGAGACUCAGCUACAAAAUAAUACAUCCUACUUUAACCUAGACUUGUGCAAACCUUGCCUAGAACAUCUAAGUGGAUAUUGUACAACUGUUGGCUGAAAUUGAGAUUGCUACUUUCCACUGCUAAGUCUCUCCAUUUGAAUUAGCCUCUUAUCUAUUUCUGGGCCCAGUUCAGAAGUUCUGAUAUUGUUCCCAAAGCUAUAUAUAUAAUAUAGCAUGUCUCCUGCUGUAGCCAUCUGAGCUGGAGAGGGUGGUAGCCUAUCUGAGGAAUGCUUUUCUUGAAGAGAUUUUUCUUGAUACUUCAUUCCUUCUAUUUUCAGCACUUUUACUUUCCCAGACCUUUUAAUUAACUCUGAAACAGUCCUCAUGCUAUUUUAAUGCUGUUUUUAUUUAUUGCCAAGUUUAUAAGUGUUGUAUAUCUUAAUGAAUGGUGUUUUAUUGAUAGUUA